GCGAAUGGAUUGAGAGCUUGCUCUCAAGAAGUUAGCGGCGGACGGGUGAGUAACACGUGGGUAACCUGCCCAUAAGACUGGGAUAACUCCGGGAAACCGGGGCUAAUACCGGAUAACAUUUUGAACUGCAUGGUUCGAAAUUGAAAGGCGGCUUCGGCUGUCACUUAUGGAUGGACCCGCGUCGCAUUAGCUAGUUGGUGAGGUAACGGCUCACCAAGGCAACGAUGCGUAGCCGACCUGAGAGGGUGAUCGGCCACACUGGGACUGAGACACGGGCCCAGACUCCUACGGGAGGCAGCAGUAGGGAAUCUUCCGCAAUGGACGAAAGUCUGACGGAGCAACGCCGCGUGAGUGAUGAAGGCUUUCGGGUCGUAAAACUCUGUUGUUAGGGAAGAACAAGUGCUAGUUGAAUAAGCUGGCACCUUGACGGUACCUAACCAGAAAGCCACGGCUAACUACGUGCCAGCAGCCGCGGUAAUACGUAGGUGGCAAGCGUUAUCCGGAAUUAUUGGGCGUAAAGCGCGCGCAGGUGGUUUCUUAAGUCUGAUGUGAAAGCCCACGGCUCAACCGUGGAGGGUCAUUGGAAACUGGGAGACUUGAGUGCAGAAGAGGAAAGUGGAAUUCCAUGUGUAGCGGUGAAAUGCGUAGAGAUAUGGAGGAACACCAGUGGCGAAGGCGACUUUCUGGUCUGUAACUGACACUGAGGCGCGAAAGCGUGGGGAGCAAACAGGAUUAGAUACCCUGGUAGUC
rnacentral:rRNA from 1 species